rnacentral:rRNA from 1 species
GAUGAACGCUGGCGUCGUGCCUAAUACAUGCAAGUCGAGCGAACGGACGAGAAGUUUGCUUCUCUGAUGUUAGCGGCGGACGGGUGAGUAACACGUGGAUAACCUACCUAUAAGACUGGGAUAACUUCGGGAAACCGGAGCUAAUACCGGAUAAUAUUUUGAAACGCAUGGUUCAAAAGUGAAAGACGGUCUUGCUGUCACUUAUAGAUGGAUCCGCGCUGCAUUAGCUAGUUGGUAAGGUAACGGCUUACCAAGGCAACGAUGCAUAGCCGACCUGAGAGGGUGAUCGGCCACACUGGAACUGAGACACGGUCCAGACUCCUACGGGAGGCAGCAGUAGGGAAUCUUCCGCAAUGGGCGAAAGCCUGACGGAGCAACGCCGCGUGAGUGAUGAAGGUCUUCGGAUCGUAAAACUCUGUUAUUUGGGAAGAACAUAUGUGUAAGUAACUGUGCACAUCUUGACGUUACCUAAUCAGAAAGCCACGGCUAACUACGUG